UACAGAGGUCUCAAGCGUUGUUCGGAUUCAUUGGGCGUAAAGGGUGCGUAGGCGGCGCGGUAAGUCGGGUGUGAAAUCUCGGAGCUUAACUUCGAAACUGCAUUCGAUACUGCCGUGCUUGAGGACUGGAGAGGAGACUGGAAUUUACGGUGUAGCGGUGAAAUGCGUAGAUAUUCGCAAGAACACCAGUGGCGAAGGCGGCUCACUGGCCCGAUACUGACGCUGAGGCACGAAAGCGUGGGGAGCAAACAGG
rnacentral:rRNA from 1 species